rnacentral:pre_miRNA from 1 species
CCCAGUGUUCAGACUACCUGUUCAGGGGACUCCAGAUGUGUACAGUAGUCUGCACAUUGGUUA